ACGACAAAUAACUCUAUUCUUUAACAAAAAGAAUUGAAGGAAUGAACGGAACGUACAUAGUUUUGUGAAAGCAAUUGGAGGGCAAGUCUGGUGCCAGCAGCCGCGGUAAUUCCAGCUCCAAUAGUAUAUAUUAAAGUUGUUGUGAUUAAAAGGCUCGUAGUUGAAUGAAGAUACUAUUGAAAAGGCUUUUCUUUUUAUACAAAAAGAGAAGUUUAGUUAAACAAUAGAAGAAGGAAAUGGAUUACUUUGAAUAAAAUAGAGUGUUUAAAGCAAAACAAUGUUAAUGAAUAAUGAAGCAUGGGACAAUAAGAAGGAGAUUUGAAAGGAUUUC
rnacentral:rRNA from 1 species